UACGUAGGGACCGAGCGUUGUCCGGAAUCAUUGGGCGUAAAGAGCGUGUAGGCGGCUUGUUAAGUCUUGCGUGAAAUCUCGGGGCUCAACCCCGAGCGGUCGUGAGAAACUGGCAGGCUAGAGUGCGGGAGAGGAGAGUGGAAUUCCUGGUGUAGCGGUGAAAUGCGCAGAUAGCAGGAAGAACACCCGUGGCGAAGGCGGCUCUCUGGAACGCAACUGACGCUGAGACGCGAAAGCGUGGGGAGCGAACAGG
rnacentral:rRNA from 1 species